rnacentral:lncRNA from 10 species
AAAAACCUUGCAUCCCAAACCCCACUCCUCUACCUCUGUUUCCUAAUCCCACCACCUAUAUCCCAUCCCCACAUUCUGGUCACCUGUGCUAAGAAAAUAUCUGAAAGUCUUCUCCUUCCCAUUGUUAAUCAGGGUAGCUCUCUAGGUAUAUUCAAGCACAAGGCUAGGGGACCCACAUUGUCAAGACCCUGUGAAUGCAUCCACCCACAGGUCGAUGCUUUGCUCCAUCCGAUAUCUCAGUGACUCCAGGUCCUGCAAUGAUGCCCCUUCCCCGAGAUGCCACAGCAGUAUUUACCAAUGCCCCUCUUUGGAUGAUCAUUUGAUAAUCUCUCAAAGAGGAUCUUAUCUAUUUCUGCCCAACUUCACCUCUCACCCCGGGAAAGACAUUACACCACAAAGAAUGAUAUUUUUUUAGCAAAAGUGAUUAAGAGUUCAGGCUCUGAAAUGAAGCAACCUCAGUCUGAAUCUUGGCUUUGUCACUCACCUGCUUGACCUUGGCAGUGUUGACCUAACCACACCAAGAAGAAGCAUGUCUUCCACGGGAUGAGGGUACUACAGUGCAUACUGACAAGGCUACCAUGAGGAUUCAUAAAAAUCAUUCACUUAAAAUAUUUAGCACAGUACCUGAAACAUAGUAAAUGCACAGUAUAUGUAUUAGUCUGUUUUUGCACUGCUGACAUACAGGAGACUGGGAAGAAAAACAGGUUUAAUGCACUCACAGUUCCUCAUGGCUGGGAAGGCCUCACAACUAUGGCGAGGGCAAAAGGCACUUCUUAAGUGGCAGUGGCAAGAGAGAAAUGAAAAAGAAGCAAAAGCAGAAACUCCUUAUAAAACCAUCGGAUCUCGUGAGACUUAUUCACUACCAAAAAAACAGUAUGGGGGAAACUGCCCCCAUGAUUCAACUAUCUCCUACCAGGUACCUCCCACAACAUGUGGGAAUUACAGGAGGACAAUUCAAGAUGAGAUUUGGGUGGGGACACAGAGCCAAACCAUAUCAGUAUACAGUUGUGUUAUUGUGACCUGGCCAUUGAAGAUGUAUAGACUUAUAGACUAUUAGCAUUUGAAAACCCUCUCUCAAAAAAAAAAAAAAAAAAGAGGGACAAGGAUGGAUGACAAAAUUUAGAAAGAAAAAACUAUUUCUAACAAUUUUUUUAAAGAAAAGUGAAGCGCAUGAAUGGGUUGGUUCUGCUAUAGAUACUACACAUAAAUUCUCAUUUAACUUUUAUUGUACCCUUCGGAGGAAAUACUUCCCUCAACAGAGGGGCAAACAGAGGCAUGGUUAGGAACAUAUUACCUGAGUUUGAAUGUCACUUAGUUGUGUUACCUGGGUAAGUGGCUUAAUCUCGCUGGGCCAAUUUCUUUGUCAAGUAAAAUGAGAAUAAUGGUACCUAUAAGGUAGUAGUGAGGAUUAAAUAAGUUAAUAUAUAUAAAGCAGUAAGAAGAGUAUUAUGCACAUAGUAAACACUCAACACAUAAUGUCUACUAUUAUCUUUUACAGAAGCUGAAACUGAGGUUCAAUGAGGUAAAUUGAUUCAUCCAAGCUCACAGGCUUGUAAGCAGCAAAGGUAGAAUUUAAAUCCAAGUCACUUUGACUCCAAAGCCAAUGGAAUGUUUCUUCCACUACUCUUUAUCACCUGGACUCCCUGGCUCCUGUCACAACAUGUUGAAGGCAAAAUUAGGUAAUGUCCUCCCUCCCUCAGUGAAAAGGAAAACCUGCCAAGACAUGGUGGCUGCUCUCCCUGGAGUGCCGGACACAGGACAUGCUCCACUGUUGGACCUGAGGCAAAUUUUUGUGGAAUAUCAAUAAUUUUGGAUGAUAACAGAGAAAAAUGACACCGAACCACGUGCACUUGCCAGAGAUGGACUCCAACUGGAGGCCAGAAAGCAGAAGAGCCUGGAAAUGCCAUCUAUGAAGGUCGGCCUCUGAGCAGCCCAGAGAAAAGCAGAAAUGAGACUGGGGCAGCCAAGAGUGAAUAACCAGCACGGUAGCUGACGCAGUGCGGUACACAAAGGGCGCGCUUCCAGUAAGACCUCAAGGCCCAUGUGCUGCUUUGAAUUCAACUGAACCGAAUGGAGAAACUGGUUGCAAGUAAAGGGUGUUAUGUGGUAAAGGCAACUGGACCCUGGACCGCUAGGGUUUCACUUCCAGCUUAUCUAGACAAGUGAAUCAUCAGAUUUCACAGCCCUCUUGGGGCUUGAAUCACACAUGUGCGGGAGGAGCUGCAUUGCUGGUGCAUGUGAAGUGUUUCAAGCUGUAAUUAUAUCCUUCACCUCCUCAGAGUGUCUAGACUAGAUUACGAAGGCUGGGGAAAAAAAAAAAUGACUGCAGCUUUCUGUGGUCCUCAAACAAGUGGGAAUUCCUGGCUGGGGCCCUUUUCCCAGAGUACACAGGAGCAAAUCCCCAGAAGCAGCAGCAGCAGCAGCAGCAGCAGCAGUAGCCUUGGCUUGAAGGAUGAAGAUUAAAAGGGAAAAGAGGUACCACUGCCUUUAAAAGUCUCCAUAGGAAAGAGACUCCAGUCAAGCACUAGCGGUAGAAAUAUGAAGCAACCCUGCUGUUCCUCUGCAGGAAAAGUUUUUAAAUAACUUCUUAUUAGUAAUAUUAAUAUUAAUGAUAAUACUGAAUCUUCAUAGCACAUUUAUUAUAUACUGAACACUAUGGUAGCAUUUUACGUACUUUGCUUCAUUUAAUUUCCACAAUCGCCCUGAGAAGUAACAUUAACCCUAUUUUUAAAAACAGAAAAAUGAUGCUUAGAAAGGCAAACAGAAUAUGGUCUUAGCUGCAGUUGAUUGAACAUUUAUUAUGUGCUUGCCAUAGGGCUGGGUAUCCCAGCAGUUCUCAAAGUGCAGUUCGUGGACCUCUCUGAGUUCCCAGCACCCUUACAGGAGAUCUACAAGGUCAAAACAAUAUUCAUAAAAACAAUAAAACAGCGUUUGCCUUUUCCACUGUAUUUACAUUUGCACUGCUGAUGGGAAAACUGCCAGCACCAUAGCACAAAUCAAGGCAGUGCACCAAACUGCACUAGUAGUCAUUGAAUUCUUCAAGGCCACCCACUUGUGGUAGAAAAAUGUGGCCAUUCAUAUAAGCAUGACUUUGAUGAAGCAGAAUCAUUUUUAAUUUUAUUAAAUUUUAACCCUUGAGCACAUGAACAUCUUUUUAAGAUUCUGCACGAGGAAACAGGAAGAACUCAUAAGGCAUGUCUAAGUACCAUGGUUGUCUCAAAGAAAAGGCACCUGCACAGUUGUUGAGUUGCAAUCUGAACUAAGCUCGGUAUUCAUAGAUCACCAUUUCUACUUGAAAGAACAAAAGAGAAAUUAUGGGUGUUCAGACUCUGGUAGUUGGCAGACAUGUUCUCAAAACUUAACUAAGUGAGCCUCUUACUUCAAAGAAAACAGCUUAGCCGGGCACAGUGGCUCACGCUUGUAAUCCCAGCACUUUUGGAGGCCUAGGUGGGUAGAUCAUGAGGUCAGGAGCUCAAGACCAGCCUGGCCAACAUGCUGAAACCCCGUCUCUACUAAAAAUACAAAAAUUAAUCUGGUGUGGUGGUGCAUGCCUGUAGUCCCAGCUACUCGGGAGGCAGAGGCAGGAGAAUCACUUGAACCUGGGAGGCGGAGGUUGCAGUGAGCCGAGAUUGUGCCAUUGCAGUCCAGCCUGGGUGACAGAGCAAAACUCUGUCGAAAGAAAGAAAGAAGAAAGAGAGGAAGGAAGGAAGGGAGGGAGGGAGGAAGGAAGGAAGGAAGGGAGGGAGGGAGGGAUGAAGGAAGGAAGGAAGGAAGGAAGGAAGGGAGAGAGGAAGGAAGGAAGGAAACAGCAGACCAUGUUUGUUGCCAAUGGUAACAUUUGAACUUCCAUGUGAAGAUUAGAAUUUUGGAAAAUAUAUAUGUUACUGUUAACUCAUCAGCUUCCCAAUAUAUUAAGACUUUUCUGUUCAGAUCUGUGCUGGCAUUAAAGAAUGUGAUCCUUUGAUAGUGUAUAAGGCAAUGUGUCAACAUUUGGAAGAUUUGUAUAAUUCAGUGAACCAAUAUUUUUUAAAUGUCCACAGUAUCAUACUGCAAAAUCAUGCACAGGUAAACGUUCAUUCAAAGCAUAAAAUGGCCAGUGGAUUUUAAGGUAACAUAGCAUGAAAAUUUCAUUUGCAUAGUUUCAGGUUCCAUAUUAUAACUACCUUUUAAGAAACUGGCAGUCAAGUUUUGAUGUAGUAUCAAAAAAAUGCUUUUUUUUUUUUUUUGAGACAGAGUCUCACUCUGUCACCCAGGUUGGAGUGCAGUGGUGCGAUCUCGGCUCACUGCAAGCUCUGCCUCCCAGGUUCACGCCUUUCUCCUGCCUCAGCCUCCCAAGUAACUGGGACUACAGGCACCCGCCACCAUGCCCAGCUAAUUUUUUCUGUUUUUUAGCAGAGGCAGGGUUUCACCGUGUUAGACAGGAUGGUCUGGAUCUCCUGACCUCAUGAUCCGCUUGCCUCGGCCUCCCAAAGUGCUGGGAUUACAGGCGUGAGCCACCACGCCCGGCCCAAAAAAAGACUAUUAAAUCACACCUCUUUUUUCCAAAUGCAUAUCGGCAUGAAGCUAAAUUUUUUCCUAUACUGCAACCAAAACAAUCUAUGGCAAAACAUUGAAUGCCAAAGAGAUUAUGAGAAUCUAUCUUCUCUUAAGUCACACAUUAAAGAGAUUUAUAAAAGUGUUGCUGUUCUCACUACAGUUUUGGGGUGAAAAAUAUAGUUAUUUAUCAUUAAAAAGUUAAUUAUGUAACAUGCAGUCAGCUCACUAGUAAAUAAAUGAUUUUAAAAUUUCUCAGUUAUAAUUUCUACUGCAAUAAAUGUUGAUAGAUAUAACCCACAUUUAAAAAUUUUUUUAAAUUAAUCUUUGAAGUCCACAAUAAUCUUUAAAUCUUUGGAAUCCUCAGUAAUUUUAAAAGGGUCCUGAAGCCAAAAUCUUUGAGAAGCACUGUUUCAUCAAUAUGUCAUCAAUGCAAUGUGAUCCCAGAGCUAAGAGCUUUUCAGGGGCUUAGAAAAUAUAUAAGCCUCAGGUAGAAAAAUAGUUGUUGGCUCCAAAACUACAAAAGAAACCAAUAAAAAAUUAAAAUGAAUAAAUGUUUAAUUAAAUGUCUACAAAAAUGCACCAACAUGCCAACUUCAUUAACUGUUAAAAUUUAAUAUUCAUAAAGAUUUCAUUACAUCUAAUACGAUUUAUAGAUUCAAUUUUCUCACUUCACACAUUCCCCUAAGUAUACACAGUGAUUGUUGGGAACUCAUAGCCAAUCAUAAAUUAAAUGAAAGUUACAUAGAGCCAAAUAAUUUCUAAAGCACAAAUAUAAAGGCCCUUACAAAAAGAAUUUAAAGCCAAAAAGUAUAUUUAAUGUGGGAUAUGGGUGCCAUUAGUAUGUUUGAUAUGUUGUAUGGUAAGGCCUCCAAAAGUCAGAAUAUGUAGGGCUCAUGAAGGCCCUGUUUUAAACACAGCAUCUUAUUUCCUUUAAAUUACACCCCUCCUGAGAAAGAUUCUGGUGAAAGCAGAUAUCUUCACUAGGCUAAGGAGAUAUCUUCACCAGGCAAAACAUUUCACCCUGACCUUUGGCAGGCCUGGGGAAGAGAAACACAUAAGGUAAAUACCAUAAACCCAUCAGAAGAGUAAUAAAAUCAUGAAGGAAAGAAAGGCCAGAUGCUGUUCUUUGGGACCCAACAAUGGCACAGCCAGCCAGGUUUCUGUCCCACAGGCAGAAGGGGUUACCACAGCCUCUCACACCCAGACUGUCAUCUUGAGCAAAGCAGGACUGAUAGCUUAGCAGAGCCCCAGACAUCUCACUAGGGAAACAGAAUGUUUGACAGAAAAGUCUGGGAGUACUUUCUAAAGACUAGCCAGCUUAAAGCAAAAAGUCCCCCAGUGAUCCUCCCCACCUCUCUUCUGGGUCCCUUGCCCUUGCUGGUACCUCAGGACUAGGCGCCCUUGCUGACCAGCAGUGCCCAGGAUCACCAAGACCUCUCUCAACUUCAUUCCCUUGCAAAGUGUUUUCUCACCUUCCCCUCAUUCUCUCAGCCCCACUGACCAGAGUGAAGCAGUGUUGUCGCCAUCCAACUUUGAGGUGUCAAGACUCUGAGAUAAUGUGGUUGCCUUUUAGAAGGGCUCCAAGAAUGGGAUAUCCCACAGUAUUGCAGUUUGCUUAUUUUCUUUCUCAUCUGAUUUUUCUGUAGUUUCUGCUAUAAAUGCAUUUGCUUUCUUUUAAACAUUUUUUAAAAGAUCAGUAAAGUAACCGGCUCAUUAUAGGUCUUUGAUAAAUAGUAAUCACUAUUAUUUGGCAAUUCAUCACACAGUGCCCUAACUUCUCCUGCAUGGAAAUCAGGAGAUCUUCCCUGUUGAGAGUGAAUGGAUUCACUUUCAUUUCCUGCAGCUGCCUAGUUUAGUAAAAAAUAAAAAUAAAAAUAGAAAAAUGGAAAAACAGAGUUAGAAAAUGUGCAAUGUAUUUGAAAUGUUUCAUUUAACAAGUCAAUGCUUUAAUUACGCAUAUACAUGCAAAACCAAAAUACAAUCGAAUUGUGCAAUUGACAAUAUAAUUUCAAGAUUUAUGGAAAGCAAGUAAUGGAUUGUGAACACAUUGUGUUGGCAAGGUGGCCUAGUAAGGAGACAAAACUGUAGAGCUCUCUGAUGUACACCUUCUUUCAAUCCUUUCCCUGAAGCUCUGUGACUCAAUGGCAUCAUUUGGAGAUUAAAAACAAGUCUAAAAUUGAGAUUUGUUGCCAAAUUGCUUCCCUUAAACACCUCCUCCUUU